GUUUACCGUGCAAUUUCGAGCAGUUAUCGAUUGUGUGAUGGGGCCGCCUGCAAUAUUCACAAAAUAAUUUUUUGGCCUUUAAAUUCUGCCUAUAAUUCUUUUGUGCACCCGAAAAAAAUUGGCCAUUGGAUGCCUUUGGUUGGGCUUGCUGCCCACUGUCUGAUUCCAUUAAGGAAUCAGAACUCUUCCAGCCUUCAGACCGUGACUCACGAUUUGCACCGUCCAGCCCACUCCCUUUUAGUUGCUGUGGAUCAUCACCUGUAAACCCUAGCUUCCCAUUUCGCCGUUCUUUCUCUCGGUCUAGGGUUCUGGAACCCGACUCGCGAUGCUCGCCGCGGGUUGCGAGGGCGAUGCUUUCCGUUCCCCUUGCAUGCUCCGCCGAGGCGAGUCGUUGGCUCUCUUCCUGUACCGCCAGUUGAAAGAUGCGUCCGAGCGGUGGCACCGGGUCCAUGGCGAGGAUCUGCGAUCUAAAGAGGGCCAACAGCUUGUUGAAGCAAGCGGUUAUGCUCAUAUUCCCUUGCUUUAGCUCUGAAAGCUCCUGGGUAAGAGAAAAAAUCCUCGCACGGUCCAAUUUCCCGUACAUUUCUCGUAUAUUAUCCCACAUCUUCUUUGCAUCUUCUGGGGGGGAAGUCCGACGGCUAUUUCUGGGCUAAUACAGUUCCCUAUCCACGUUCUAACGA